rnacentral:pre_miRNA from 1 species
UGGACAGAUUAUUGUAUUCGGCUGUAUUCACGGCGUGAAACAGGGAUUACAUUGUUUUUAAACGGAAAGUGAAUUAAUUAACAUAACAGACUCCU